rnacentral:rRNA from 1 species
AGGACGAACGCUGGCGGCGUGCUUAACACAUGCAAGUCGAGCGAUGAAGCUCUUCGGAAGUGGAUUAGCGGCGGACGGGUGAGUAACACGUGGGUAACCUGCCUCAUAGAGGGGAAUAGCCUUCCGAAAGGAAGAUUAAUACCGCAUAAGAUUGUAAUAUCGCAUGAUAUAGCAAUUAAAGGAGUAAUCCGCUAUGAGAUGGACCCGCGUCGCAUUAGCUAGUUGGUGAGGUAACGGCUCACCAAGGCGACGAUGCGUAGCCGACCUGAGAGGGUGAUCGGCCACAUUGGGACUGAGACACGGCCCAGACUCCUACGGGAGGUAGCAGUGGGGAAUAUUGCACAAUGGGGGAAACCCUGAUGCAAGCAACGCCGCGUGAGUGAUGACGGUCUUCGGAUUGUAAAGCUCUGUCUUCAGGGACGAUAAUGACGGUACCUGAGGAGGAAGCCACGGCUAACUACGUGCCAGCCGCGGC